AUACCUGAUAGAAGACAUCUCUUAUUACUUCCCUUUCAAAAUUCAGUCAAUGAAAACUCACCCAUGUUUAUGUGCCUGUUAUUGCACUAAAACUGGAUAUACUUCAGUAAAUGAAGCUGACUCAUAGUCUAGUCCAUGGGUCACCUGGUGGGCAGUGUAGCAUUAUAAAAUGAAAAAGUGAAAUCAAUAAGUGCUAGUACUAGAGGGCAAGAACAUAUGCAGAAUAAAUAAACAGAAAUCACAAAUGAAGUAUUAUUCUGUUUUGUUUGUAUUUUCACAACAGAUGGUUGAAUGAAAAACUCCAAUAACCACAGAAGACUGAUUUAAUAAUGGAAUACUAUCAGUAAAGCUCAUUUAGAAUCUGUAAUUAGAUUUCAUCCUUGAUUAUAUGUGCAAAUACCUCCUAAGAAAAUAACCGUUUAAUAGCUUAAUUUUGGUUUAGAAGCCAUUUCCAGACUUUGAAUCUAAUGUUCUAAAUGGUUUCUAAAUUUUUGUGUAGUAUGAUAUUCUAUGAAAACAAUAUGCAUUAUUAAGUUAAAACUUAUUAUUUCUUACAUUAUUUCUAAGAAAACAAACAAUACUGACAUUAGAGAGAAGCAAAGUUUCUAUAGAAAACCUAUUACACUGUGGUAUAAAUCAAGAUGAACCUGCAGACAUCUAUUUUAGUUUGGAAGUCUGGAAAAGUUCAAGAUUGGCCAUCUGCAGCUGGUGAGAGCCUCAGGCUGCUUCCCCUCAUGGUGGAAGGUGAAGGGGAGCUGGUGUGUGCAGAGAUUACAUGGUGAGAGAGUAAAUAGGAGAGAGAGGAUAGAGAUGCCAGACUCUUUUUAACAACCACUUCUCAAGGGAACUAAUCACAAUCCCCCAACCCCAGGGAGGGAAUUAAUCCAUUUAUGAGGAAUCUGUCCCCAAAAUCAAAACACUUCCCAUUAGGCCUCACUUCCAACAUUGGGGAUCAAAUUUCAAGCCACAUAUUUAAGAAAGGUAAUUAUAGAAUCAGUUAGAAAAGGGGAAU
rnacentral:lncRNA from 1 species